UGGAGUGUGACAAUGGUGUUUGUAUUCACAUAUCAAACGCCAUUAUCACACUAAAUA
rnacentral:pre_miRNA from 1 species